CCCGAUUUGGAAAGUGCCAAAUUAUUAAUUUAGUUAAAGUGUCAUAUUUAUUAAAAAUAAUAAUUUAGAAACGAAAAGUUAGACGUUUUCCAAGGUAUCUGGUUUUCUAAGAAAUAAAUUUAAUUUAGAAUAGUAUAAUGUAAAAAAUUAAAAAGUUUACUAUUUAAAAUCUCAGGGGGUUAGCUCUGAGAUUCAUCAAAAUGUGUAUUGUUAUUUAUAAUAUAAGGCUUAAAAUUAGCCAAUAGAAUGUUUUAAUUAAUUUAGUUGUUCAGUAAUUUAGGAAAAUUUGAUAUUUUAUUAGGAUAUUAUUUGUAACAAAAUUAAAUAAUUGAUAAUGAUAAAAUUAAUAAAAACAAAAAAAAAUACUUAAGGAAUUCGGCAAAAUAGGUGUUCAACUGUUUAUCAAAAACAUUGCUUCCGGCGAAGAAUUGGAGGUAUGGUCUGCCCACUGAUUUAUUAAAGGGCUGCGGUAAUUUGACCGUACAAAGGUAGCAUAAUCAUUAGUCUUUUAAUUGAAGACUGGUAUGAAAGGCUGUAUGAAACACCAGCUGUCUCAUGUAUUAAACUUAAUUUUACAUUUUAGUGAAAAGGCUAAAAUAAAUUUGGAGGACGAGAAGACCCUAUAGAUCUUUACAGUUACUCAAACAUGAAUUUUGAGAAUGAAAAAAAUCAGUCUGGGAACUGUUUUGUUGGGGAGAUAAUGAAAUAUAUAAACUUUCAAAAUAAAAACAUAGAUUUAUGAAUAGUGGAUCCUUCUUUGAUUAAAAAACUAAGUUACCUUAGGGAUAACAGCGUAAUCAAACCGGAGAGUCCAAAUUGAUGGUUUGGUUUGCGACCUCGAUGUUGGACUAGAAAAAUUUUUGGCGCAGCAGUUAAAAAGAUUGGUCUGUUCGACCUUUAGACUUCUACAUGAUCUGAGUUCAGACCGGCGUAAGCCAGGUUGGUUUCUAUCCUCAAAUCAAGGACUAAUUUAGUACGAAAGGACCAAUUUGU
rnacentral:rRNA from 1 species